rnacentral:rRNA from 1 species
CGCUGUGACGCGGGCGGUUCGCCGCCCGCGACUCUGCGAGAAGUCCAUUGAACCUUAUCAUUUAGAGGAAGGAGAAGUCGUAACAAGGUUUCCGUAGGUGAACCUGCGGAAGGAUCAUUG